GGCCCCCUGUUGUGGUUUUGUUUUUACAGAUGGGGGGUCCGGCCUGCCCGGUGAUGCUGGAGUUGGUAUUAAACGGCCGCGGUUUUAACGUGCGAAGGUAGCAUAAUCACUUGCCUAUUAAUUGUGGGCUUGUAUGAAUGGUUAGACGAGGGCUUGGCUGUCUUUUUGUAAAUAUUGAGAAAUUAUUUUCUAAGUGAAAAUUCUUAGGUGAAACUGAGGGACGAUAAGACCCUAUCGAGCUUUAGUGUGGUUAUGGGUUAACUAUUGCAUAGGUUUUUGUAGUUAUUUUUGUCUUGUAAUGAGAUCUUUGGUUGGGGCGAUCGAGAAGUAUUAAGAACCUUUUUUUGUUUUUGUGUGCUGGUGGGUAAUUGAUCUGGCGGAGUGUAGAAAAGAGAAGAAGUUACCGUAGGGAUAACAGCGUAAUUUUUCUGGAGAGUUCUUAUCGAGAGAAGAGUUUGCGACCUCGAUGUUGGACUAAGUUAUCCUGGGGGCGUAGGGGCUUUCGAGGGUUGGUCUGUUCGACCAUUA
rnacentral:rRNA from 1 species